CCUCUAUAAACCCCCAUAAACCCUCGGCCUGUACAAGUCCCCAGAGAGCCAUUACAAACUUUUGCUAUUGUUGUGCACAUUGUGCAAAGACAACCUCUAAGGUUGUGAGAGAGCUCCUUGUUUUGGUGGCCGGAGAUCACAGAGAGCUAGCUAGUAAUGGGCCCAGGAGGACCGGGACCGGGACCGGGAGGACCCCCCGGACCGGGUGGAUGGGGCCCACCUGGUCCUGGUGCACCAGGACCUUUCUUCUGUGGCUUUUUUGACAUGAUUGGUUCUUGCCUGAACUUCAUAUGCUGCUGCUGGUUGCUACGAGAUUGCUUCGGAGGUCCAUUGGGCCCACCUGGGCCUCCCGGACCCCCCGGCCCAGGUGGCCCACCUCCUCCAUGAAUCAUCUGCUUCCCAGUUCCUACCAUACUACGUGCUACUGCUAUCUUAUUAAUUUUACAGCUAUCUAUUAUGUAAAAAUAAUGACAGCUUUGGAGCAAAAGGACUUGUAUUCUUGAAAGAGAUUGAUGUCUGGUUUUUUGUGUGCCA